GUAGGAGGGACACUUUUGUCCAUAUCUUUCACAAGCUGCUCUUGACAGCAGAGCACUCCCUAGGUGAGUCACUGUUCGAUGAUGAUGUACUCUUACAUCUCACCUAUGUGCAAUACCAUUAUGUCCAUACUCGUUGAUUAAGAGGACAACCAACCCAUAUGACACGCAACAAUCUAUAUUCGAUAAAUAUUAUUAUUCUUAUUAAUAACGUAUCAUUUGAUCGCGAACAAGUUGAAGAACUAUUCGAUAAAUCUUUCUUUAAUGAUUUUAUUAUAGUUCUAAGGACUUCAUUAUAACACU
rnacentral:lncRNA from 1 species